UACAUAUUUCUCAUAGAAAGGAAAAUGAAGGCAAAUCACGAAACUCUAAGUCUAGCUCUUCUUCUACUUUUGUUUGCUGGACAAAUCUCAGCUUCGAAUUACACUUCAUGCUAUGUGGAGUCAUGUAAAGAUAAAAAUCCCAGGUGGGCUUGUUAUAUCAGUUGCUACAUCAACUAUAUGAACACGAACGAUUUGAAUGUGAUUGAUUCUGAUUGCAUCUCUUCUUGUAUCAAACUCUCAUGCUUUCGACUUGAUCCAGAGGAGAUUGAUGUGGGACCUUGCAUUGAUACCUGUCAACAGAGCUGCGCCUAGUACUCGACAACAGUGAAUUGUGAAGAUUUUUUUCCAGCGUAUGGUUAGGAAAAGUUGUAUAUAAAGGCGAAGUUUUGCCUGGUGUUAUAGUCAUAAGUGAGGUUUUCAAACUUCAGUAUCAAUAAACAAACAUGAUCACAUCAUGUUACAUGUUAAUAAGAUCAUUUUAAAAGUAAUGAGAUUCGUUGUGUUUCUAAUAUCAGGCAAAUUUUUGAGAAAGAGGGUCCUCUGUACAAAAGCAUACAAGGAAUUAAUGUGCUCACAUGUUGUAACAUUAAUUUUGUAGCUGAUGAUUGUUCUGGUUCACAAACACCAUUGGUACUAGUUUAAAAUUAGGGAAAAUCUUCUUUUAACCCAAAGUUUUACUCCAACUUAUUUUUAAACCCACCUACUUUCAUUAUGAUCCAUACACCCAAAGUACAACACCCACUUAUUUAUAAACCCAAAGUAUCAAAUACACCAUAUUUAUAUACUGUAUCCAAAAAAUAAAAGAUAAAUCCCGAAAUUACCCUUUUUCUUCUUCUUCUUCCUCCCUAAUAACUACCCAGGGCUCAACUCUCUUUUUCUAAUUAUCUCCAUCUUUCUAGUUCUCCUCCCACUAAAAAAAACCCCUAAAAAUUCAAGGGUUUUGAUCUCUUGCAAUGGCAUCCAAUAUCAACUUGCAGGUUUCUCUUCGCUAGAUCCUUCGUUGAAGGGGGGCGGUGGCAGCGGCCCUAGGACCACCUAGUCCACUCAAAGCCGACCAAUAGAAAACGGUUGAUGCAUAGAAGGUGUUUGAUGGAAUGACAAAAGGGAUAUAGUUAUUUGGACCACAACGAUUAGCGGUUAUGCCAUAUUGUUGUUGGUUGAGGAGGCAAUAAAGGUGGUUGAUAAAAUGUCCAAGAGAAGUUUGGUUUUGUGGACCGCCAUGAUCUUAGCCCAUCAGUAUGCCAUCCUACGCCCUCCGGUUGCUCCUCACCAUUUUCUAUUGCUGCCAACACCUAACGCAAUGCAUAGCUACCCCUCAAUCAGAAACGAUUCGUCAAUGCACGUACACUAACUUUCCAAUCAAAUACAUGAGAGAAUCCUCCACUCUUGGCAUUCGAUCAGAUCUUAGCAUUGUUGUCACAUUGCAACCCAAACGGCAAAUCAACUACAACCUACAAUAUGAUGUACCAAGUAGUAUCUAAUGUAUUGUGUUGUAUGGAA